AGGAUUCCCCUAGUAACUGCGAGUGAAGCGGGAAAAGCUCAAAUUUAAAAUCUGGUAGUCUCUGGCUGCCCGAGUUGUAAUCUAGAGAAGCGUUAUCCGCGCUGGACCGUGUAUAAGUCUCCUGGAAUGGAGCGUCAUAGAGGGUGAGAAUCCCGUCUUUGACACGGACUACCAGGGCUUUGUGAUGUGCUCUCAAAGAGUCGAGUUGUUUGGGAAUGCAGCUCUAAAUGGGUGGUAAAUUCCAUCUAAAGCUAAAUAUUGGCGAGAGACCGAUAGCGAACAAGUACCGUGAGGGAAAGAUGAAAAGAACUUUGGAAAGAGAGUUAAACAGUACGUGAAAUUGUUGAAAGGGAAACGCUUGAAGUCAGUCGCGUUGGCUAGGAAUCAGCCUUGCUUUUGCUUGGUGUACUUCCUUGUUGACGGGUCAGCAUCAAUUUUGACCGGUGGAAAAAGGCUAGUGGAAUGUGGCAUCUUCGGAUGUGUUAUAGCUGCUAGUUGUAUACAUCGGUUGGGAUUGAGGAACUCAGCACGCCGAAAGGUCGGGGUUUUGCCCACGUUCGUGCUUAGGAUGCUGGCAUAAUGGCUUUAAUCGACCCGUCUUGAAACACGGACCAAGGAGUCUAACAUGCCUGCGAGUGUUUGGGUGGAAAACCCGAGCGCGUAAUGAAAGUGAAAGUUGAGAUCCCUGUCGUGGGGAGCAUCGACGCCCGGACCAGACCUUUUGUGACGGAUCCGCGGUAGAGCAUGUAUGUUGGGACCCGAAAGAUGGUGAACUAUGCCUGAAUAGGGUGAAGCCAGAGGAAACUCUGGUGGAGGCUCGUAGCGAUUCUGACGUGCAAAUCGAUCGUCAAAUUUGGGUAUAGGGGCGAAAGACUAAUCGA
rnacentral:rRNA from 1 species